CAGGGUUUGUGUGAGGUAUUGUACGAGUUCUAGUGUAAAUGAGUCUCUGGCUGGUCCCAAAAAAUUGGAGUUUCAGGUGCAUCAUUCUUGGUUCAGAAUCUGGUUUGAGGAGUAUUUCAAGAACAGAGCUUAAUGUUAGUGCAUAAUUGUGAUCUUUGCUAGUCUCCUUGUUUGGGGUGGAUGACUGAACUAUUGACUGAGAGCAAGGCCGGGUAGGUAAUGAAAAUCCAUGUAAACAAGCUUAACCAGCUCAGCCAGUAUAAUGUUGAAUUUUAAAGAAUGAGAAAAAUGAGGAGAUAAAUUUAUCCUAAUCCAUCUUGUUGCAAAUCUGACCCACAUCUCACUAUAGUUCAUGAGUUUUGAUUA